AUUGAACGCUGGCGGAAUGCUUUACACAUGCAAGUCGAACGGCAGCACGGACUUCGGUCUGGUGGCGAGUGGCGAACGGGUGAGUAAUGUAUCGGAACGUGCCCAGUCGUGGGGGAUAACGUAGUGAAAAUUACGCUAAUACCGCAUACGAUCUAUGGAUGAAAGCGGGGGAUCGCAAGACCUCGCGCGAUUGGAGCGGCCGAUAUCGGGUUAGGUAGUUGGUGGGGUAAAGGCCCACCAAGCCAACGAUCUGUAGGUGGUCUGAGAGGACGACCAGCCACACUGGAACUGAGACACGGUCCAGACUCCUACGGGAGGCAGCAGUGGGGAAUUUUGGACAAUGGGCGAAAGCCUGAUCCAGCCAUUCCGCGUGCAGGAUGAAGGCCCUCGGGUUGUAAACUGCUUUUGUACAGAACGAAAAGGUUUCUACUAAUACUAGGAGCUCAUGACGGUACUGUAAGAAUAAGCACCGGCUAACUACGUGCCAGCCGCCGCAGUAA
rnacentral:rRNA from 1 species